UCAAUGCACGACCUCCAGGAUGGCAUCAUAGAGAAGCUCGCUGAUGAAGACGGCCUGAUGGAGUUGCCUACCAAAUCAUCUUUUACUCUUUGUGCUUAUGUUGUUCAGCAUGUAGUAGGUCUUUCUGACAUCUUAGAAAUUACUGUAAAAUUGAAUUAUCUUUUGUUAUCAGCUAAUAGCUCCAAUAUUAUGCUUGCUUUUGUUUUAGUUUCAGCGUGUCUGUCGCUUUGAUGUGCACAUUGUAACAUGUCAGAAACCAGUCUGCUUUCAUUCCCAUGUCAUCAAAUACCGAGAUAUUGUCAUGCCCCUCGACAUCCUUAAGUUCAUCAAGUUUUAAGUUACAUAACGUUACAUAAGUGACUUGAGUCACUUGAGAAUCUAACCGAACUGCGAUUGUUUGGCAUUUACCAUGAAUUAAAAAGGCGUCUCAAACAGAUGCUAAAGUGUACCCUGUGCAUCAAAAAACAAAAUAAAACUCACCGAAACCGUCUUGAUAGUCAGAUUUCAGAUUUAAAUAAUAGAUGAUUUCCUGGUUGCAGUGACAUAGUGGAAAUGAAGCUUCCUGUCAUCAAAGUAAAGGCAGAUUCUGAGUCGAGAGGUGAGACAUCACGCCCACUCAUUUUACUUUUAUUUAGGUGUGGGCAAUUGGACAGAAAGCUCUGUUGAAAAGCAAAAUUAGACUUUUCUUUCUUAGUAUAUAAUAUUUUUUUUAAAGAAUACAACUUCAUACAUAUGUAGCUGUACACACCCUAAGUCCUGGAUAUGGCAGGUCUCUGUGGUCUGAAGAUCCUGCUGCUCUCGGCUGCAAUAAUUGCUUUGGCCAACUCUGCGGAAUCUCCACAUUGUUCUUACACUGUUUCAACAACUUAUUUUGGAUUACAACUCAACAUCACAAGUUCCAUUGCUGGUAAAUACGCCCUGAAAAUGAAUGAAGUAGACCGACCUGGGAUUGAGAAAUAUUACAUCUUUCAGCAUUCUGCUCAAACUUGGUCACAUGAAAUCACACACUUGAAGCCCUGUACUGCCUAUGACCACACUGUGAUAUUUAUUGAUGGUGGUGGGGAAAGGCCCUGUAACUCUGAUGGAGAUAAAAAUCUGAUAACGGAUAAAAU